rnacentral:rRNA from 1 species
AGUGAACGCUGGCGGCGUGCUUAACACAUGCAAGUCGAACGAGAACGGGCUAUAGCUUGCUAUAGUUGUCAGCUAAGUGGCGCACGGGUGAGAAAUGUAUAGGUCAUAUCCCUCUUACUAAGGGAUAACAAAUGUAAAUGUUUGCUAAUACCUUAUACUCCUUUUAAAACGUACCUUAAAAGGAAAAGAUUUAUUGGUAAGAGAUUAGCCUGUAUUGUAUCAGUUAGUUGGUGGGGUAAUGGCUUACCAAGACUAUGACACAUAACUGGUUUGAGAGGAUGAUCAGUCACACUGGAACUGAGACACGGUCCAGACUCCUACGGGAGGCAGCAGUGGGGAAUAUUGCACAAUGGACGAAAGUCUGAUGCAGCAACGCCGCGUGGAGGAUGACACAUUUCGGUGCGUAAACUCCUUUUAUAUGAGAAGAUAAUGACGGUAUUAUAUGAAUAAGCACCGGCUAACUCCGUGCCAGCCGCCGCUGUAA